UGGGGAAUAUUGCACAAUGGGCGCAAGCCUGAUGCAGCCAUGCCGCGUGUAUGAAGAAGGCCUUCGGGUUGUAAAGUACUUUCAGCGGGGAGGAAGGGAGUAAAGUUAAUACCUUUACUCAUUGACGUUACCCGCAGAAGAAGCACCGGCUAACUCCGUGCCAGCAGCCGCGGUAAUACGGAGGGUGCAAGCGUUAAUCGGAAUUACUGGGCGUAAAGCGCACGCAGGCGGUUUGUUAAGUCAGAUGUGAAAUCCCCGGGCUCAACCUGGGAACUGCAUCUGAUACUGGCAAGCUUGAGUCUCGUAGAGGGGGGUAGAAUUCCAGGUGUAGCGGUGAAAUGCGUAGAGAUCUGGAGGAAUACCGGUGGCGAAGGCGGCCCCCUGGACGAAGACUGACGCUCAGGUGCGAAAGCGUGGGGAGCAAACAGG
rnacentral:rRNA from 3 species